CAGGCGAGUGACCGGACCGACACCAUCGUAUAUAGAUACGUACGCAAUACAUUACGAUAAUAACAAUAACAUUAUGAACGAUCGGUACCGGGCCGAAGGGGAAACGGGUCGUGUUUGAUUUUUUUUUUGAAUUCCGUUCAUUUUUCGGUUUUUCCUACGAUUUUCAGACGCCCGUCGGACGUACUGCGAGCCAUUCCGACGGUCCUAUAAUAUUACACAAGUUUCACACCAAAACAGGCGGCCGUCGUGUCUGAUCUCGCGGACCUGCAGCUGCAGCAUCAAUAGUAAUAGCAGUGAGCAAAAUAACAUCAUGGGUUCG